AUUGAACGCUGGCGGCAGGCCUAACACAUGCAAGUCGAGCGGAUGAAGGGAGCUUGCUCCUGGAUUCAGCGGCGGACGGGUGAGUAAUGCCUAGGAAUCUGCCUGGUAGUGGGGGAUAACGUCCGGAUACGGGCGCUAAUACCGCAUACGUCCUGAGGGAGAAAGUGGGGGAUCUUCGGACCUCACGCUAUCAGAUGAGCCUAGGUCGGAUUAGCUAGUUGGUGGGGUAAAGGCUUACCAAGGCGACGAUCCGUAACUGGUCUGAGAGGAUGAUCAGUUACACGGGAACUGAGAAACGGUCCAGACUCCUACGGGAGGAAGCAGUGGGGAAUAUUGGACAAUGGGGGAAAGCCUGAUCCAGCCAUGCCGCGUGUGUGAAGAAGGUCUUCGGAUUGUAAAGCACUUUAAGUUGGAAGAAAGGGCAGUAAGUUAAUACCUUGCUGUUUUGACGUUACCAACAGAAUAAGCACCGGCUAACUUCGUG
rnacentral:rRNA from 1 species